ensembl:lncRNA
GACAGCUCAGUUAACCUAAUGUUUAGCUGUUUAUGACCCAGUAGACAGCUCAGUUAACCUAAUGUUUAUGACCCAGAAGACAGCUCAGUUAACUUAAUGUUUAGCUGUUCAUGGACAGCUCAAAUUCAGCUCAAAAUUCAGCAUAAAACCCCAAAGAGCCAGCAAUGCAGAGGCAGAAGCACAGUGGCUAGGAAAAACUCCUUGGAAGACAGCUCCCCCUAGAGGUAGUAUUGGGACUAACAGAGUAGAGAUGUGUGUGUUCGUACUCCUCUUUGCAGGUCAACCAGAUGCUCCAAAACUUUCACCUGGAUGUGGCCGGUAACCUUGACUACAAGAACCUGUGUUACAUCAUCACCCACGGAGAGGACAAGGAGAAUAAGAGGGCGCACGUAGAGAUAGAGGACUAGAUGGAUAUGACCUUUUUUAACAUUGGCAUUUCUAUUGAGGGAUUCCACCAAGAUGAGUCGUCUAUCUAUCUCUAUAGCGGGGUGCUGUCAGGGAAAGGAGCAAGAAGUUGAAUGGAGGAGGGAAGGGAUGAGGGGGGAUUUUGUAAAUAGCCUAUAACCAGAUAACGACACUACUAGUCACCCUAGGCAGACCGGUUGCCUCCUACAUUGACAAAGUUCCGACAUACACUAGGUCUGGGAUUUCCUAGACUACUGUACUACUACAACAGAGCUAGUGACUAGUGGGUUAUAACAACAGUGACUAGGGAGUUAAAACAACAGUGACUAGGGGGUUAUAACAACAGUGACUAGGGGGUUAUAACAACAGUGACUAGGGGGUUAUGACAACAGUGACUAGGGGGUUAUAACAACAGUGACUAGGGGUUUAUAACAACAGUGACUAGGGGGUCAUAACAACAGUGACUAGGGGUUUAUAACAACAGUGACUAUUGGUUUAUAACAACAGUGACUAGGAGUUAUAUCAACAGGUAGUGACUAGGGAGUUAUAACAACAGGUAGUAACUAGGGGUUAUAACAACAGUGACGAGGGGAAAAUAACAACAGGUAGUGGCUAGGGGUUAUAACAACAGAUAGUGGCUAGGGGUUAUAACAACAGAUAGUGACUAGGGGUUUAUAACAACAGGUAGUGGCUAGGGGGUUAUAACAACAGGUAGUGACUAGGGGUUUAUAACAACAGGUAGUGACUAGGGGUUUAUAAGAACAGGUAGUGACUAGGGGGUUAUAACAACAGGUAGUGACUAGGGGUUUAUAACAACAGGUAGUGGCUAGGGGGUUAUAACAACAGGUAGUGACUAGGGGUUAUAACAACAGGUAGUGACUAGGGGUUUAUAACAACAGGUAGUGACUAGGGGUUUAUAAGAACAGGUAGUGGCUAGGGGGUUAUAACAACAUUGACUAGGGGAAAAUAACAACAGGGGGUUUAGAACUGAUGUCCAAAAUGUAAGGGGUUCUGCAAUGUCCAGCAAAGUUACCAAUAGUGUUGUGUGUGAAUUGCUAGAACAGUGACUAAGGGUGUUGAAAUUGAUUUUAUGAUGAUAAGACAUUGAUUAUCACAACACAAUUAUGGAAAGUAAUGUUCUGCAUUGAUGUCACCAGACUCUCUAUGUUAACAAAGGGAUUUUCAAUAGUCACAUCGGUAGAGUAGAGAGAGGAAAAAGGGGAAAGGUAUUUAUCGGGGUCAUAAACCUCCCCAAAUGGCCAACGUCCUGACACAUCACAGUAUGGAAAACCUCCCCCCUCUGAGGCCAACGUCCUGACACAACACAGUAUGGAAAACCUCCCCCCUCUGAGGCCAACGUCCUGACACAACACAGUAUGGAAA